rnacentral:rRNA from 1 species
UAGGGAAUCUUCGGCAAUGGGGGGAACCCUGACCGAGCAACGCCGCGUGAGUGAAGAAGGUUUUCGGAUCGUAAAGCUCAGUUGUUAAGGAAGAACGAGUGUGAGAAUGGAAAGUUCAUGCUGUGACGGUACUUAACCAGAAAGGGACGGCUAACUACGUGCCAGCAGCCGCGGUAAUACGUAGGUCCCGAGCGUUGUCCGGAUUUAUUGGGCGUAAAGCGAGCGCAGGCGGUUAGAAAAGUCUGAAGUGAAAGGCAGUGGCUCAACCAUUGUAGGCUUUGGAAACUGUUUAACUUGAGCGCAGAAGGGGAGAGUGGAAUUCCAUGUGUAGCGGUGAAAUGCGUAGAUAUAUGGAGGAACACCGGUGGCGAAAGCGGCUCUCUGGUCUGUAACUGACGCUGAGGCUCGAAAGCGUGGGGAGCGAACAGG